rnacentral:rRNA from 1 species
UACGAAGGGGGCUAGCGUUGCUCGGAAUUACUGGGCGUAAAGCGCACGUAGGCGGCUUUCUAAGUCGGGGGUGAAAUCCUGGAGCUCAACUCCAGAACUGCCUUCGAUACUGGAAAGCUCGAGUCCGGGAGAGGUGAGUGGAACUGCGAGUGUAGAGGUGAAAUUCGUAGAUAUUCGCAAGAACACCAGUGGCGAAGGAGGCUCACUGGCCCGGUACUGACGCUGAGGUGCGAAAGCGUGGGGAGCAAACAGG